CAGUUUGAUCCUGGCUCAGACCAACGCUCGCGGCGCGCUUAACACGUGCCAGUCUUGCGGUACCGAUGGCUAGUCCUUACCCACCAUCCCUCGGUACAGCGGCGGAGGGGUGAGUGACACGUGAGUAACUCUCCGAAGGAGGGGGAUAACGCCAGGAAACGGGUGCUAAUACCCCAGAUGCCUCGCAAGAGGUGAAAGUGUACUUGUUACAGCCUUAGGGUGCGCUCGCGGCCUAUCAGCUAGUUGGUGAGGUAACGGCUCACCAAGGCUAAGACGGGUAGCCGGCCUGAGAGGGUGUACGGCCACACUGGAAUUGAGAUACGGUCCAUACUCCUACGGGAGGCAGCACUGGGGAAUCUUGGGCAAUGGGCGAAAGCCUGACCCAGCGACGCCGCGUUGGGGAUGAAUCCAUUCAGGGCGUAAACCCAUGUUGUAAGGUACCAACAACGUGACGGUACCCUACAAGAAAGCCCCGGCCAGCUACGUGCCAUCCGCCUCGGUCAAACGUACGGUGCGAGCGUUGUCCGGAUUUACGGGGCGUAACGGGCUCGCAGGCGGUACGCCAAGUCGGAGGUGUAAAGUUACGGCUCAACCGUGACCUUGCAAUCGAGACUGACGUACUGAAGUGCACAAAAGGGAAGUUGAGUUCCAGGUGUAACGGUGAAAUGCGAAGAUUUGGUGGAGGAACGCCAGGGGCGAGGACGGCUUCGGGGGCCGGAACGGAUGGAUAGGGACGAUAGCAGGGGAAGCGAUCGGAAUAGAUUAGUAGGUAGUCUUGGCCGUAAGGGAUGGGUGGUAGGUGUAGGCAGGUUAGGGGUC
rnacentral:rRNA from 1 species